ensembl:lncRNA LINC01741 long intergenic non-protein coding RNA 1741
AUCUGUGUCAGAAUUCUAAAGCUCAGAGAUUCUCCAUGCUGCAUCCCCCAUACCAUCUAUAUCUAAGGCUGGGGUGUAAAGUAAGAAAUGGUUUUCAACAAGCAUGCUAGGGCCACCACAACUAAUCCCACUGCCCUGCAAGCAUCUCCAGAUGAUUUUGAUGCAGUUGGUCCACAGGUCACAGCCUGAAAAACUCUAAGACCGUCAGCUGAUCAACUACAAUAAUAUUCUCUCCAGCAUUCCAGACAAUGGCUUUCCAACCCCUUUAAGGACUGGGGUUUACUACCUACUCAAGCAGUCCAUUUGUCUUCAGUCAGAUGACUAUUAAAAAGUUCUUUCAUAUACUGGGUCCAAACAGGACUUUCUGAACUUUCUGGCUAUUGUUACCAGUUCUCUUUUGUGCAGCUCAGAGUAUUUCGAGGCCAAUGGCCUGAGCUACAAGUGAUUGAAAGGGCAACUUAGGUUCAGGUGAUUCCUCGAAAGAUUUGGUCCACAUGACUGCUCACUCACCGGUAAAAGGGCUUAAUGUAAGCCAGCUAUAUUGCUGACUGUGCAAGGAUGUGGGGUUGUCUGAGAAUAGCCUUCAAUGGCACUGACUGACUAGGAGAGCCUCAAGAAUACUUUAUAAAGCCCAUGGUUGCGCAGUGAAUCUGGGAACCUGAUAAGAAAAUAGGUUGCUACGGUUCUGCUUAUUAGAGUGGACUCCUAGACCUAAUGAAAAUGCUAAAUUAUAAAUCCAGAAUAAGAACUGGAAUAAAGUUCUCUAGAAUUACUAGAAACAGCAAAAGAAAACUGGAUGAAGACAAUAUUGGAGCUUUUCUACUUUAGCUGACAAGCUGGCACUGUACUGGAUACUGAGAAAAAAGUGGUAAACAAAACUAACAUGGUCUCUACUCUCCUGGAAUUAAAAGUCUAGUGAGGGAUGACACAGUAAACCAUAAAGAAAAUAUUAAACGAAAAUGCAGGAGUACCUUCCAUUUGGGAAACAGCUGUCUUUCUACUAUAAGGAGAAACCUGGUGCUUUUCUGCCUGGUACUGUCCCAGCACGGCACAUGUGAUAUUCCUUGGAUUGAGAGCAGAGUCAUGAUAAUAGCCACUGCUGGUGGAUGACCCAACACAGCCAGCCUCAGUCAUCUCACCCUUGGCAAAACAAUCUUUCUAGAGCCAAAUACUUGAGGGAUCUCCCUUGGCACAUAGCUUCCUGCAUAUCCUGACUCUCUUCUGGCUGUUCUCUUCCAACCUACAAAGAUGUAAGGUGAAUUUAAUUCAGGACCACUGGAGAAGAGCAGAAGCAGAUCCCUCCUAUCUCUCCAUGACCUCCUCAGCAAGCAGGCCAUGUCCUCCAGCCCACUCCCUGUCCCACUGCCUGCCCAUACAUACUCCAGGAGAACAGUACCUGUUUACGGUCUCUUGGCUCUCUGGAGUGUGGAGUGCUCUCAGAGUUGAGAGGGGAAGACACUGGCAUGCCAUGAGCAGGACUGCCUUGGAGCCAACUCACAGCUGAGCUUCCUACCUGGUCUUCCAGGGAAGGUGGAGCUUCAAGAAGCUUGACCUCCUCAUAGCACCAGCGUAAAGGGCAGUUAACUGUUUGGGCAUCAAAAUAGGCAUUGUGUGAGUUGUUGUGUAUCCCCAGACCAACGUGACAAUAGAAACAAAUUAUUCCUAA